rnacentral:rRNA from 1 species
UGGAGAGUUUGAUCCUGGCUCAGAUUGAACGCUGGCGGCAGGCCUAACACAUGCAAGUCGAACGGUAACAGGAAACAGCUUGCUGUUUCGCUGACGAGUGGCGGACGGGUGAGUAAUGUCUGGGAAACUGCCUGAUGGAGGGGGAUAACUACUGGAAACGGUAGCUAAUACCGCAUAACGUCGCAAGACCAAAGAGGGGG